GGUGCCAACAGAUGGCGCAGUUUAAAGUUGGCUGUUACUCUGCCCAGGCUGCUACCAUAGAAGAAGAAUGUAGACCAAUAGUACUUUAACGAUGUCCGCUGAUCGUUUCCGUGUAAAUCUUAGCAUUGCUUUAGCCGUCAAGCUAAAGGUUUAGCUUCAUACUGCCAUAUUUUCAGAGCAACAAAAUAUUUAAACGGUCUCAGAUCAUGGACAGUGAAGUGUCUGACACUGACCAUGUAGCAGUGCCUGAGAACACUGGUAUGGAGGGG